AAAAUUUAUAACUACUAAUCUGUUACGUAUCAAUUUGUUUGUUUAAAUCGAUCAAAUCUAAGGUUGAAUUUUACUGAAAAUUUUUUUUUUUUUUUUUUUUAUAGUUGAGUUUGAGUUUUGAAUUUAAUCGGAAAGGAAAUAAAUUAAAAUGAUAUUAUUGUGUAUUUAAUUCCGAUUUAGGUUAUUAAUUAAUACGGUAGUUGCUGCCACCAGAAAUAGUCCAAAGACUAUUUCAAAAUGUUUUAUUUUUUAUUAUUUUCUUUUGCGUUUAAUGGGUAACGUUAACUGACGCUUAAUGCAACUGGUAAACGAAUUUCACUUUUCGGCUAACCUGCUAUGCGCAGGGAUACUAGCGCGGGAGAGGAUUAAAGCUGGGUACAAUAAAUAUUUUUCCUCGUCGAACGGAUUUUUACUUGAAUGUGAAAUGGGUUAGGUUAUUAUAUAUAUAUAUUUGAUUAGCUAGAUAUAUAUAUUUUAGCGUUGCUGGAUUAGAUAGGAAUGUGAGAUUGUUUGUUGUUUGAUAUAAAUUUAUUUUUUCGUUUGACUUCCUCUUCUCUUUUAAUUUCGCUGUUAAGACCGAAACUCAAUUCAUUUACCCCGAUGGAUUCUGUCGCCACGAUUUUCUUGCCUUUUGAGUUUAGCUAUCGAGGAUAAUUCUAACGAUCCUCUCUGUGUGGGACUCGUGUGAUUUCGCCAGCCUUGCCCAAAGACGGGUAAUAAUUUACCAACAGUGGGAGAAGGAAGGCGAAGAUCGAUGGGUGUUCUCGAUAAUUGAAAACACCGUUUGCACGAGCCGACACAGCGAACGAUCUUUUGGUUAAUUUCCCGAAGGGGGGAUUGUUUUGUUAUAUCUUUCUUAUAAUCGCAUGCAAGAAUGGCAAGAAUAUCGGUUAAUAGCAAUACCGGUAUCGUUCUUGAUUUUCAAUUGACCCCGACGAUAUAUUUAUUAGUCCUUUCUGAGCGGGACUUGUGUGAUUUCGCAAGCCUUGCCCAAAGAUGGGUAAUAUUUUACCAACAAUGGGAGGAGGAAUGCGAAGAUCAGUGGGUGUUUCAGUAGCUGAAAACACCGUUCGCACAAGCCGACACAACGGACAACUCCUUUGUUUAAAAUUUAAGCAAUGUUUCUAUCUUAAAAACCGUAAAUGAAAUCGAUGAUAGGAGGUUUUGAUUCAAUUCUCGAGGACAACGAGAUUGCCAGAAAAGAAGAAAGUUUUUUAAAUUUAAUUUGCUUACCUUGAGGAAAAGGUGCUAUCGGGUGCCAUCACUCCAGCUGUCCCGGUGAUCGUCGAAGGUUGUUGGGUUUAUUAUUUAAUCUCGAAUAUAGUUUUCUAUCAACCUUUACUUUAUUAAACUAUUUCGAUACAAAUUGAGUGACUUGCUAACUGAAUUGAUAUCGCAAUGAAGACUUAAAAUUUUACUUUAUUUAAUCGCGACUCUCUUUUCUUUAUCGAAAAACUAAAGACCCCGAAACGCAAAAUACUUAUACAGAUUUCUAGACGCAAAGAAUAAUGAGCCGUAGUAACAAACGAUCGCAAACUAAUGAACGAAUAAUGAACUGAAGAACGAAUAAAGAAUUAAAGAACGAAUAAUGCACGAAUAAAGAACGCCGCGCUAUGUUGCAUCGCUUAUUUAUAAUGCCAUCCCCCACGGGGUGGUGGUCCGCUGGGGGUACGCUUCCGUGGGAAUCGGGAUGUUGCAGUUUGGGCUUCUUGGAAUCGUACGUGACAAAAUGUAAAUUCCAUAUUUCGACUUAGUUUUUUAUCAGUCCUGUGUUUCCGCUGAGCUAGCGUCUAGGAGAUUUGAAGCAUUCCACGCUGAUCUAGUCCGUUCCGCGAGAAACUUCCACGUGCUGUACCGUGGGAAUUACCGGUGUUUCUUCGGCGCGUGGAAGGGCUGGUGGCUGCAGCAUCAUUAUCAUUUUAAAGUUUGCUCGGGCAACACGCGCAACUCCGCUGCUCUCCCAUAACAAAGACCUCCUCCUUCGAAUUGUUUUGCGCUUCGGUGAUCGAUGUUCGAACCAUGUUUGCUGAGUCGUUUCUAUCAGAGGUUCCUUUCCAGACUUCCCUGCCCAAGCGAAAGAGGGAUUCCGAAGAGCCCAUGGGCGACUCGGGGGAACCCAUCAAGCGCAUGCGGCCUUGUGAUGGACCACGAGUGUCGGGGAGUUUGGAGGAACUGUUUUACAUUGGUGCCGAGGCUGUGUCGAAAUUGGGUUUUGACGAUUUGGUUACUUUCGACGAGAAUUUCUUUGAUGCGGAGACCGUCAUAUUGGAGAGGGAACCCCCUCUGGUUGAAAUCGUCGAUACCGAGCGUUGCGUGAAAGUUCGUUUUGCGAAUGAAAUUCCCGAAGAGGUUUUGGAGGCGCAUCUUCGUCACCAUGCUUCUGGGAGAAAGGGAAUUUUCCCUGUUGUGCGCUAUUGGUGUAUGUGUGAGUUCAGCGAACUUUAUCCCGGAGCUCCUUGCUUCGAUUUUGAUUUAUUGUAGCUGCUUCAAUUUCGUUGGUUCGCUGUUUUGAUGUUCCUUAUUAUUAUUAAUUUUGACAUAUUUUGUUUUGUGUUCAAUGUGUGUGUGUGUAUAUAUAU